GUGUUCCUAUUGGAUGACUUAGUCUUCCAUAAUUGCUUUGGCAUCGUAGCAACGUGAUCGUGAUUUUUCAUUUAAAUUGCAGUAACACGAGGUUGUGUCAUCACAUUACGUUCUGCGGACUCUUGUAUAUUUGUUCCUGCAAGGAAAUACAAUUUCCGUUGCUCAGUUUACUUAAAUGACACAUGAGGAUGAAUCAUACAGGAAGAGAAGGAUCCAGUUUGCGAUUGAAAUACUCGUGCAAGUUUCCAGAAUGCAGGAGUAGUUAUUAUGUAAAAACAAAUUCCAAACACGAUAAUAAACAUUUCUAUAAAUUUCCAGCUGCAUCAAAAAGUGAGACUUUAAAGAAGUGAAAAUUGAUCUGUAAUAUAGAUGAAGGUGUCAACUGUAGUUGUUAUUAUGUGUGUGAGGAUCAUUUUUAUGAAGUAGAUUUUGUGAACUUCACUAGAUACACGCUAAAUCCUGGUGUUAUUCCAAAGCACAUGUAAUUGGUGUUGUAUCACCCUCCUCCCAUCCAUCUGCGUUACACUGGUGUUGGUGGUGGUGGUGGUGGUGAUGGUAGUUUCACAUCAGGUGCAAAUAUAAGUGUGGAUGAGACAGGUCACAAUGCAAAAUCUACAGUAAUACAAUGAAGCAGUCCCCCUUUACAGGGCACAGAUGAUGGUGAGUACAGCUUUUUAUCAUCACCAGUUUAUUAUGUUGAAAGUAGUCUAGGUGUAAUAGGAUCUGGCGUUUCUAAAUAUAAUUUAACUCCAAGAAAACACAAAAUGUAUAAAGUGCAUAGAAUUACAGUUUCCAGAGUGUGUAAAUUGAAAAAACAGCUACAAAAUGAGAGGAAUAAAUUGAAAAUUCUAAAAGAGUUGUAUGAUGACAGGAAAUUUCAGUUCAUUGAAGAAGAGAAAAUUUUUAUUAAUAGUCAGUUAAGAAAUGCCAAUAUGCAGCCCACAGCAGUAUGGUUGUCUAUACAAUAUAAGGCAUUUGCUUUAUCUAUUUAUAAGCAUAGUCCCCGGUUGUACAGAUAUUUGGCCACUUUCUUCUCCCUCCCAUCUGUCAGGCUGCACAAGGGAGUCCUUUCCCACAUACCAUUUGAUACAGGACUUAACCGAGCUUUAUUAAACUUUUUAGCAAGGGAAGUAAGUAAUAUGCAUGAAAAUUACAUGUAUUGUGCUCUACUUUCUGAUGAAAUGUCUCUGGAUGAUGGUAUGUACUAUGAUGCAUCCAAACAGCUAAUCUAUGGGUAUCAGGACUUGGGUCAUUUAGGACGUUCACCUGUAGCUGUUAGUCAAGCAUUGGUUUUUAUGCUGAAAGGCAUUCACAGAACUUGGAAACAAGUUCUAGCAUAAUACUUUACCACAACCACCUUCCACUACACCCAUCUGAAAUCACUCAUUGUUCACAUCAUGAGUGAACUACAGAAUAUUGGGUUCAAAGUCGAUUGUACUGUAUGUGACCAGAAUGCAACAAACCAAAAGGCCCUUAAACAACUGUGUGAAGCAAAUUUGUUGAAGCCCAGUAUAUUUCAUUUUGUCGUCAAUAAUCAACCAAUUGUUACCAUUUAUGAUGUACCACAUCCGCUCAAAAACACUAGAAAUGCUUUGAUAGAUAAUAAAAUUCAAUUUGAACCACACAGAGCAGCAAAGUUUGAGUACAUCAGAACAUUUUGUUGUUGGAUAAAAAAAAGGUUCAAAACUCUACCCAAAUUAAAAGCACAAGACUUUAACUUUUCUGAUUCCCAUGUCAAAAUGAAGGUAAAAGUUGCUGCUGCACAAAUGAGCAAUACUGUUGCAGCUGCAAUUGAAAUGUAUGUUUCUACUCAUACAUUGCCAUCUGAAGCUAUAUACACAGCUGAGUUUGUGGAAAAGGCAGAUAAUAACUUUGAUUCAUUCAACAGUAAUGAGCAAUAUCCCAGGGAUGGAAAACAAUUUAGGUGUGCUUUAUCAGAAAAUUCGCCACAUUUAGAAAUGUGGUAUAGCAUAUUAAGGGAAACCCAACUUGUUUUCAGUUUGUACAAGCUCUGAAGACUUGUGUUGUCAAUCAUAUGACUUUGCCUUUCAAAGCCAUGAGUGUAAAUAACUAUGGAAAUGAUGAUUACACUCCCUUGAGCAGUUUGUGUCACUUUUUGGCAGCUAGUGGUAGGAGUGAACAUUUAAGUGAAUGUGAGAUGAAUGACACUGAUACACCUGAGCAAAUUUAUUCUUACUCAGAUGGUAUCAUUGAGUCUGUAGAAGAUCAACAAGCCUUGGCCUAUGAAGCAGGCUAUGCACAAAAAGCCAUACAUGUACCAGAUGAUUGUGAAAUAUGUAAUACCAGUCUCUACUCCUCUGUUGUGACUGAAAAUCAUUUGUUUACCUCAUUUAAAGAGAAUAGUGAGAAGCAUUCUCAUUUGAAAUAUGCAAGUGAAAGAGUCAUGAUUUUCCAAACGGCACUCCAUGAUCAGCUGUAUGAGUAUCUAAAUAGUCAUGGUCACACAACAAGACUACCUGAUAAUUUUAAAAAAUUUGUAAUAAACAUGACAUUGAAGAGAGACUUCUGAAGACAAGUAUUACAUUUAUAAUAUACAAGUAUGUGAAAGAAAAGAAAUUUACAAACAAGAGGAAAUUGUGUAUGCAACAACUUAAAAAGAAGUUCAAAUCAUGUUAAAAGACUUUGUAUGUCAGUUUUUGUUAUGUGUACAAUUAGAGUAAGCUCCAUAUACAUAUACAAAUGAAUUGUUAAAAACAGAGAAUUACAUGUUCUUGUAUCAAAAUCAUGCCUUUGAUUUGUUAUGACAAAAUCUGGUAAUUCAGCAGAUACAUAACUUAACACUUUCUCGAUGUGAUGAUGGGACUCUGAAAGUAUAAUGAAUAAAGUGCUGUCAAGGGGAAUUUGUGUUAAUUUUCAGUAGUGUACCAAACAAAGUUUUCAAAGAGGAAGUAAAUAAAUAAAAAUGUUUAAAAUAAAUGUU